GCGACCCCCAGGUUCAGGCGG
rnacentral:rRNA from 1 species